rnacentral:rRNA from 1 species
GGUGAACGCUGGCGGCGUGCCUAACACAUGCAAGUCGAGCGGUGCAGUUUGAAGCUUCGGUGGAAAGCUGCAUAGCGGCGGACGGGUGAGGAAAACGUAGGAACGUGCCCCUUGGAGUUGGAUAGCCACGGGAAACUGUGGGUAAACCGACAUAGACUCGAGAGAGUAAAGGCCGAAAGGCGCCAAGGGAGCGGCCUGCGGCCCAUCAGGUAGUUGGUAGUGUAAAGGACUACCAAGCCGACGACGGGUAGCCGGUCUGAGAGGAUGGCCGGCCACAAGGGCACUGAGAGACGGGCCCUACUCCUACGGGAGGCAGCAGUGGGGAUUUUGGACAAUGGGCGAAAGCCUGAUCCAGCGACGCCGCGUGGAGGACGAAGCCCUUCGGGGUGUAAAACCCUUUCGUGCGGAAAGAAUAGUCUCGUAGCGAAUAACUAUGGGAUUUGACGGUACCGCAGGAAGAAGCACCGGCUAACGUCCGUGCCAGCAGCCGCGGUAAGAGUGUGUGUA